GUGAGGGUAGGAGGAGCAGGAGCCAAUGGCACCCAAGGCACUGAGGAUGGUAUAGGAGCCGGCUGUGCAAGCGGCCCAGGUGGUGGUGCAGAACAGGAAGAGAAAGCAGAGGCGGAGGAAGUGACGGGAGGCAGCUGAGGCCAAGCAGCGGCAAGAAAGGAGAUUCCCCCCAAAAAAAGUAUCUGCAGCUGUUUGGGACCAUCCUUAAAAUCAAUAACCAUGAGCAGCUGUCUCCCUGACAUCAACAUCACUAACUCAGGAAACCAAUGGUGGGCUCAGGGGUGCUGCUGCGAAUAUCUGCUCUCUGUAAGCUGGGAACAGAAAUGAGAAAGAUACUAGCAAUUCCUAGCAAAACCAUCUGAACAUAAGGAAACCAUGGCCAUAGCAGGGGCACUGUGCUUUAUUGCUGUUGUUGUUGUUGAAUGAGACCCAGGGGAGGGAAGAUGGAAGUCAAAACCCUGGGAGUUUGUCUUGGAGAGAGAGCAUUCUGGGUCUCCGUGUGUACGGAGAUAGACCUGGGCCCCUAAGGUUUGGCAUUUGGAUAACAGGUAAGGGACGCAGACUCUGACAAAGAAUUAACUGGCAGCCCCCGGGGCCUGUAUUGUCCAUAAUCACAUUUUAGCUGUCCCAUACAGGGAAAUCUGAAUCUUUAGCUUCUUUUGAGACUUUAGCACAUGUGAUUAUGGCCUGUGAUCUUGCAGGACC